rnacentral:rRNA from 1 species
UUUCGGGCUUCGACCGGCGUACGGGUGCGUAACGCGUAUACGAUCUGCCUUUCACAUAGGGAUAGCCCGAAGAAAUUUGGAUUAAUACCUAAUAGUAUAUAGGUGUGGCAUCACAUUUAUAUUAAAGCUGAGGCGGUGAAAGAUGAGUAUGCGUUCUAUUAGCUAGUUGGAGAGGUAACGGCUCCCCAAGGCUACGAUAGAUAGGGGUUCUGAGAGGGAUAUCCCCCACACUGGUACUGAGAUACGGACCAGACUCCUACGGGAGGCAGCAGUGAGGAAUAUUGGACAAUGGUCGGAAGACUGAUCCAGCCAUGCCGCGUGCAGGAAGACGGCCUUAUGGGUUGUAAACUGCUUUUGCAGGGGAAGAAUAAGGACUACGAGUAGUUUGAUGACGGUACUCUGCGAAUAAGCAUCGGCUAACUCCGUGCCAGCAGCCGCGGUAAUACGGAGGAUGCGAGCGUUAUCCGGAAUCAUUGGGUUUAAAGGGUCCGUAGGCGGGCUAAUAAGUCAGAGGUGAAAGCGCUCAGCUCAACUGAGCAACUGCCUUUGAAACUGUUAGUCUUGAAUGGUUGUGAAGUAGUUGGAAUGUGUAGUGUAGCGGUGAAAUGCUUAGAUAUUACACAGAACACCGAUAGCGAAGGCAUAUUACUAACAAUUAAUUGACGCUGAUGGACGAAAGCGUGGGGAGCGAACAGGAUUAGAUACCCUGGUAGUCCACGCUGUAAACGAUGGAUACUAGCUGUUUGGUUGUAAGACUGAG